rnacentral:rRNA from 1 species
AUGAACGCUGGCGGCGUGCCUAAUACAUGCAAGUCGAGCGAACAGACGAGGAGCUUGCUCCUCUGACGUUAGCGGCGGACGGGUGAGUAACACGUGGAUAACCUACCUAUAAGACUGGGAUAACUUCGGGAAACCGGAGCUAAUACCGGAUAAUAUAUUGAACCGCAUGGUUCAAUAGUGAAAGACGGUUUUGCUGUCACUUAUAGAUGGAUCCGCGCCGCAUUAGCUAGUUGGUAAGGUAACGGCUUACCAAGGCAACGAUGCGUAGCCGACCUGAGAGGGUGAUCGGCCACACUGGAACUGAGACACGGUCCAGACUCCUACGGGAGGCAGCAGUAGGGAAUCUUCCGCAAUGGGCGAAAGCUUGACGGAGCAACGCCGCGUGAGUGAUGAAGGUCUUCGGAUCGUAAAACUCUGUUAUGAGGGAAGAACAAAUGUGUAAGUAACUAUGCACGUCUUGACGGUACCUAAUCAGAAAGCCACGGCUAACUACGUG